rnacentral:tRNA from 1 species
AGGAUUGUAGCUCAGGUGGUUAGAGCGCACCCCUGAUAAGGGUGAGGUCGGUGGUUUACGUCCACUCAGGCCUACCA